rnacentral:misc_RNA from 1 species
ACACACACACGUGCGCCUUAACAGCAGUACCAUUAAAAAAUGAACCGCCUCUUCGGUAAAGCCAACAACGCCCCCAAGCCAACCUUGGAAGAUGCCAGCAAUCGCAUCAGCUGCCGCUCAGACGUCGUCGAUGCCCGCAUCGCCAAGAUCGAUGCCGAACUGAUGAAGGUGAAGGAGCAGAUCCAGCGCACGCGGGGCAUGACGCAGAGCCGGCACAAGCAGCGAGCCGUGCAGUUGCUGCAGCAGAAGCGCAUGUACCAGGGUCAGCAGGACAUGAUGAUGCAGCAGCAGUUCAACGUGGAUCAGCUGCACUUCACGACGGAGACGAUGAAGGACACGCACGUGCAGGUGGACGCGAUGAAGCAGGCAAACAAGGAGCUGCGCAAGGGCAUGAAGAAGCUGAACAUGGACAAGGUUGAGAACCUGCAGGACGAACUCGCCGACCUGUAUGCGGACACGCAGGAGAUUCAGGAAAUCAUGGGCCGCGCCUACAGCGUGCCGGACGAUAUUGACGAGGACGAGAUGCUUGGCGAGCUGGACGCGCUCGACUUCGACAUGGAGAAAGAAAACGACGCUGACUACCUUGCCGAUGCACUGGCUAUGCCAGGUACGAAGCUGCCCGACGUGCCAACGGACAGCAAGGUUGAUGCAGGCGGCCAGAAGGAGUCGAACACGGCGGACCCGUACAGCCUCGAGCAGCAGCUUGGCCUGUGAUAGAGAGAAAGGGGAAAAGAAUGCACCUGCGAGAGCACCACGAUCAAAUCGGUGUCGGCUUUGUAUGGAUGCGGCUUUUUCCCCACUCCUUUUUUGCUUUUGUCGCGUUGGCCACGCGAGCAGCACGCGCCUAUGUCCACGUAUAGGUGCCUCGAAUCCGUUGGCGUCCACGAAGAGUGUGUAUUGUGUACGUGCUCCUGGCAGGACGACUCGGCACAGCUGUAUUACAGCUGUAAGCCAGCACAUUUGCUGUCUCCCUCACUCUCUCAACACCCCUGACACCCUUGGGAAGUCCUCAGCAGAGAAGCUGAGCUCAUAUGGCGGGGGAUUCGUUUGUGCUGCAUGGUAUCUGCUCCGUGCCUGCUUUGCUCGCUGCCCUUUCCCUCUCGCUUUCUCCAGAGAUUUAGUGUCAUCCUCUCUCCUUCGACAGUGCAUGAGGAGAGGGAGGGGAUCAAGCACACAUACACACACGCGCACACGCAUGAAGCGAUACCGGAAUCAAGGAUAUAUUAGUAAUUCAUGUGUGCCGUGGUGCUUCAGCGGUUGUGGCGGCAAGGCACGGGGCGCACAGCCAGACACUUGCACGCACUUGAAAUUAUCGUGGAUUUCAGUGUGUCCGCCUCGUCUCUCCUUCCUCUGCUUCGCUUGUGCUCUUCAUUUUCAAAUGCUUCUCUCCCUGCCCCUCACUCCUCCAACACCGUCGCCACUGCGCCUACCCUUAACUUCCCCCCUCGGUAUUGUGGACGAGGGAGGAGUAACAUCGGCAGGUGUGCUGGUAUGUUGCAUAGGUGCGCGUGCGCGUCCCUUCAUGUCGUGUUCUUGUUGCUUUCAUAAUUUUUUUGUUUUUGUUUGCUUUUCAGUGGAGAUGUGCAUGUGCGUACAGGCUGUAGAUGGCUGUGGUGUCAUUUUGUGUAUGUGUGUGUGUCUUCUCCUUUUUUUCUUGUUUCGCAGCUGUGUUGCGAGCAUGC